rnacentral:lncRNA from 1 species
CUCGACAAUCGAAUUCAAACAACAACAAUGGUUCCCGACCACGAUACAUCAACACGACGCAAACUCAACCAUGACGCAAAUGUCACUUGCACUAGUUGUGGCCGUAGUGGUCAUCAUGCAACUUUAUGGUUUUGCUUGGUUGGAUACCCGGAAUGGUGGGGAACCAGACCACGAACCACAAACAACUAUUUAGGAGAACAAAGCAAUACACCAUCAA